GGAUUGUAGGCUGCAACUCGCCUACAUGAAGUUGGAAUCGCUAGUAAUCGCGAAUCAGAAUGUCGCGGUGAAUACGUUCCCGGGUCUUGUACACACCGCCCGUCACACCACGAGAGUUUACAACACCCGAAGUCAGUGGCCUAACCGCAAGGAGGGAGCUGCCUAAGGUGGGGUAGAUGAUUGGGGUGAAGUCGUAACAAGGUAAC
rnacentral:rRNA from 1 species